UACGUAGGGUGCGAGCGUUAAUCGGAAUUACUGGGCGUAAAGCGUGCGCAGGCGGUUUUGUAAGUCAGAUGUGAAAUCCCCCGGGCUCAACCCGGGAACUGCGUCCGAUACUGGCAGGCUUGAAUCCGGGAGAGGGAUGCGGAAUUCCAGGUGUAGCGGUGAAAUGCGUAGAUAUCUGGAGGAACACCGGUGGCGAAGGCGGCAUCCUGGACCGGUAUUGACGCUGAGGCGCGAAAGCCAGGGGGAGCAAACGGG
rnacentral:rRNA from 1 species